rnacentral:rRNA from 1 species
AUUGAACGCUGGCGGCAGGCUUAACACAUGCAAGUCGAACGAGUGGCGGACGGGUGAGUAAUGUCUGGGAAACUGCCUGAUGGAGGGGGAUAACUACUGGAAACGGUAGCUAAUACCGCAUACCAUCAGAUGGGCCCAGAUGGGAUUAGCUUGUGGGGGGGGUAACGGCUCACCAAGGCAACGAUCCCUAGCUGGUGUGAGAGGAUGACCAGCCGCACUGGGACUGAGACACGGGCCAGACUACUACGGGAGGCAGCAGUGGGGAAUAUUGGACAAUGGGGGCAAGCCUGAUGCAGCCAUGCCGCGUGUAUGAAGAAGGCCUUCGGGUUGUAAAGUACUUUGGGCGGGGAGGCGGUACCCGCAGAAGAAGCACCGGCUAACUCCGUGCCAGCAGCCGCGGUAAUAC